UGUAAUCAUUUAAUACAGCUACACUUUUCCCACAGCCUGACGAAGGGACUUUGAUCCCGAUAGCUUGCAGAAAAGGACAACUUUCUUGCCAUUUUCCAGUUG